rnacentral:lncRNA from 1 species
AGAAAUCUGUGGAUUCUGUAGAGACAGGAACAGCGUGACAUAAAUCUCAGGAAGGCAUCUUAUUUCACAAAUUUCCCAUUUGAUUCCUGCUAUUGUGUGAGGCUGGGCUCUUCAUCUCUAUCAAAAUCAGUCUGGAAGCCUUCUGAGAUUGCCUCUAGAAAAGCCAAUACUCCCGCGGAUUGGACCACAGAUGCUGUGACACCACUGACUUGUCCUGAUCUGGAGAGGCUCUGGCUUGCUCAGCCUGCUGUUGAGUUUGCAAUGAGAGUGUAAAGUCAAGACAGCUACAGAUGCUAACAGGACAUGGACACCUUUUCAGAUAACUGACUUCAUCUGUCUGCCUGUUUAUGUGGAGAGCUGAUUAUCAGCCAUGUGCAAAUACUGGGGAACCGAUCUGAUCUCUGUGAUGUUUUACACUACAGGCGGAGCAGAGCCAUCUUUCUAUCCAACAUUCACUCAGCGAGGCAGGAAAUAUAAUUAAGCUUUCAUGCAUAUUCCCAUGGUACCCUGCACAGUCAAUCAUUGAAAAAAAGUCAGUGCCACAAGAGCUUGUUUGUUUGAAGACAUCACCUAAGAACU